UGCAUGAGUGAGCACCGCGGUCUCAGCCCAAGCCAUUUGGCUCUGCGUCGCCCAAGGAUAUGUGAGGGGGAUUCAGUUGGCGGGGACAGCAAUGUUCAUUGCUUGAGCACCCCCUGUUAUCCGUCUGGGUGCCCAGGGCUUGCUCUCUGCGCAUGCAUAUGAUCGGGUCUCCGGCGUGUGUUCUGUAAGUGGCCAGAACCUUUUUAUGUUUCUGUGGUGGAUUUUGUUCUUUCACAUCCUAGGUAAUAUAUGCCACAAUGCCUAAUGGCUAAAAUCUGUGCAAAGGUGUUAAAAGACCUUACAGCAGUGAGUGUUGGGUCAGCACAUUCCUAUGGUCUGUUCUGUGCUGAAAUAAACUGAGUUGCAGGGAUUUUAUUGGUGAAGUCCCAUCAGACCCUAGCACUGGUCAUUAUCCGGCUGCCGUAAGUAAAAAGGAGGUUUCCACCAGCAGCAGCCUGACCCAUGCAAGCAGCGGGGUGUGAGAGGGGGAGAGGCAGUUUGUAUGAAGGCAUGUGACAGUUUCCACUUCUGAAGAGAGUGAAGCACAUAUGACCUGAGAAACAGGAGACAAGAAAAGUGUCAUUAAAAAACAAUUAGGAAAAUCUCUCAGCACAACCAAACAAUUAGAGAUAACAAUGUAAGAUCCAGGAGUACACCUGCCUAGUGUCCAGUAGUAGUAAUGGCCAUUAUAAUGAAUAAAUAAAUAAAAUAACACUUUACUGUU